rnacentral:rRNA from 1 species
GUGACGGUACCAGUAGAAGAAGCCCCGGCUAACUACGUGCCAGCAGCCGCGGUAAGACGUAGGGGGCCAGCGUUGUUCGGAAUUACUGGGUGUAAAGGGUUCGUAGGCGGUGUGGCAAGUCGGGAGUGAAAUUUCUGGGCUUAACCCAGAGACUGCUUCCGAAACUGCUGUGCUUGAGUGUGGGAGAGGCGCGUGGAAUUGCAGGUGUAGCGGUGAAAUGCGUAGAUAUCUGCAGGAACACCCGUGGCGAAAGCGGCGCGCUGGACCACUACUGACGCUGAGGAACGAAAGCUAGGGGAGCAAACAGGAUUAGAUACCCUGGUAGUCCUAGCCCUAAACGAUCAGGACUUGGGGUGCCACCCGUUCGGGUGUCGUCCCGGAGCUAACGCGUUAAGUCCUGCACCUGGGGAGUACGGUCGCAAGACUGAAACUCAAAGGAAUUGACGGGGGCCCGCACAAGCGGUGGAACAUGUGGUUCAAUUCGACGCUACGCGAGGAACCUUACCUGGGCUCGAAGCGCACUUGACAAGCUGUAGAAAUACGGCCUUCCCGCAAGGGACAAGUGUGGAGGCGCUGCAUGGC